AUCCAAAUGACGAGUCCCAAACAGGAGGAAACGAACAUUCUGGAU
rfam:Schistosoma margrebowiei strain Zambia genome assembly, scaffold: SMRZ_contig0003337